rnacentral:rRNA from 1 species
GCGGCCGGUCGGGUGAGUAAUGCCUGGGAAAUUGCCCAGUCGAGGGGGAUAACAGUUGGAAACGACUGCUAAUACCGCAUACGCCCUACGGGGGAAAGCAGGGGACCUUCGGGCCUUGCGCGAUUGGAUAUGCCCAGGUGGGAUUACCUUGUUGGUGAGGUAAUGGCUCACCAAGGCGACGAUCCCUAGCUGGUCUGAGAGGAUGAUCAGCCACACUGGAACUGAGACACGGUCCAGACUCCUACGGGAGGCAGCAGUGGGGAAUAUUGCACAAUGGGGGAAACCCUGAUGCAGCCAUGCCGCGUGUGUGAAGAAGGCCUUCGGGUUGUAAAGCACUUUCAUCGAGGAGGAAAGGUUGGUAGCUAAUAACUGCCAACUGUGACGUUACUCGCAGAAGAAGCACCGGCUAACUCCGUGCCACCAGCCGCGGUA